GCAGACACAUUCUAGCCAAUCAGCAGCAGACCCUCCCUCCCAGACCCUCCCACCUCCUGGACAGCUCACUAAGAAUGCAGCUUCACAAUGAAUGUAAAAUGGAUGCUGUCCAGGAGGUGGGAGGGUCUGGGAGGGAGGGUCUGCUGCUGAUUGGCUGGUUUACUCAA
rnacentral:miRNA from 1 species